AAACCAAACAUAUCUCUCACUCUCUCUCUCUCUCUCUUAACAUUUUCAAAAGAUCGAUAUAACAUGUGUUUUUGAUAACUGACAAGUCUAGUUUGCAAAUAAAGGUUAUGUGUUCAUCUACAUGUUUGUUUACAGUCGAUCUCGAUCUUCACAUGUAACUUGGCAGAGACCGGGUUGAUGUAAUUAAUUUGUCUUCUGACCAUCUGAAAAAUGAAAAUGAGAGCUUUCCAUAUACUUACACACUUUCCAUAUAUACCAACUAUGAUGUACGCACACACUUUCCACUUAUGGAAUUUUAUUUUACUACUACCUACCUACCUACCUACCUAGCUAGUAGCUCCAACUACACUACAAAUUUUUAUAUCAAGUACUACCUCCGUUUCAGAAAGUUCUUUACGCUUUGAAAAAUGUGUCCAAAGUAUAAAACUUUGACCGUAAAUUCUCACCAUUAUAUACAUCAAAACGUUACAUGUAAGAUCUUGUUAAAUUGAUCUCGGAAUGUAUUUUCAGAAUAUCAAAUUUUUAUAAUUUUUUCUCAUACGAAAUUGGAUAUAUUAGUAGUUAAAUAUUGCAUUGGAGUACGUGCAAAUAGUAACUGUAAAGAUCUUUUUGAAACGGAGCUAGUAUAAUUAAGGUUUUACGGAGAUCAAUCCCUUGCAAUGUGCGAAGUAUAUAUCUGAUACAUGCAUGUCAAUAAUUAAAAGAUGAUUAUAAAUGCAAAAAAUUUCUUAUGAUCUUAUGUACAAUUGUACGUUACUAUUUUAGCAACAAUUUGUCCACUAGGUUAGACCUAAGGUGUCAUUUCGACUAUCAAACUAAUUAGAAUUAACUAGCUAGCAGUGCCGAUCUACUAGUCUUUAAUUUGUACAUGUAGCUAGUUAUCUACUAGUCUAUUGUAACCUAGCUACGGAGUAAAAGAUUUUUAUUACAACGUAAACUCGAUCAAUUAUUAAUAACAAACCAUUGUACGUAUAUAACUAACACACAAUCUAACAAUUAACUUCCCCAAUUAAGAGUCGGUCAUGGUUGACUUUUACAUCUAUCCAGUGCUAAACAAGCAUGUAAGAAUCACAUACAAUAUACUAAAGAGAAAUUAACAAAGGAAGUACAAGUUAUUGUUCGUGUCGUACUUUUCAUGUUUCUUGUUACAUCACUACAAAAUAAUUAAUCACCUUAUAGAAGUACAAGUAAUUGUUCGUGUCGUACUUUUCAUGAUCCUUGUUACAUCACCACAAAAUACUCACCUUAUAUAGACGAGGAAUUUCGUUCCUAUAAAGGUCGUCUCAAAAUAUUUGAGACGGAAUUUUGGCAAGUCAAUUACAAAUUUGAAACAAAAAUUUUGGAACUUCAUAUACAAUCCCAUUUCAAAUUUUAUUUAAUGACAAAAGUUUUAUACAUACUUUGAGAUGCUUAUAGUAUCCAAUAUUCCACCUCUAAUGACGCAUAAUUUUAAGGUGCAUGCAUGCCAAAAACAUGCGUCCCACCGGAGCGACAAAAGAGUUGUCAGAGAGAGCGAAAACACCAAACCGCAUACGGAGUACCAAGAGCUUUUAUUAAGGGUAUGUUUGUUUCAACUUAUUUUGACUUAUUUCAUAAAAAAUAAGUUCAGAUAACAAAAAUAGUUUUUUUUUUCCAGACAAUUCAACAUACAAUUAAGUUCUUAUCACAAAAAAUAAGUUCAAAUAAAUCAGUUUCAGUCAAGUUUAACUGAACCAAACAGAACUUAAAGCAUACAAAUAUACUUGGUACAAUCUACCGGUCCAUGCCCAUGGGAAUGUGGCCACCUGCUAGUCCACAAUCCACAUUCCUUCCACAGUUCUACCUACAACUCUACAAGGAUACAAGUCUACAAAAUCUUGCCAACCAUUUUCGUCAUUAUAAAUAAGGCCUCGUUUCUUUACUAAGGCCCAAUAGACAAACUCGAAAUUCAACAUUUUGGUCUACAAGAUAUCAGAUAUGCCACCUCCUGGGCAAGGCCACAGCCAUGACCCACCAAUGCCGCCACCGCGAUAUCCAUCACCACCAGGACUUUCUGGUCCACCACCGCCUGCACCAUUCUAUCCAACACCACCACCCCCAGGCCCUCCUCAACCGCCAGGCCCAGUCCAUACUCCACCACUGUCUGGACCACCACCACCAGGCCCAAUUUACCAUUCAGGCCCAUCAGUUCCUCCUCCUCCAGGGCCUCCACCGCCUUUCGGCCCACCAGGCGCACAUCCCCCUCCUUGAGUUCAUGAGAGCAUAUAAUUGCACUACUGCAAUAGCUAGUAAUGUUUGUACUUAGCUUGGAGUGUUGCACGCGAGUAUAAAUAAAUCUUAAGCUAAAGUAUGGCUGGCUGAUGAGCUAUGAAUCUAUGAUAUGUUGAAAUUGAAAAGCUAUGGGUUAAUGAUACUUGGUAUAGUUCAAGUAUGUAAUGUGCAAUCCCCUUGUCUGUUUUUACCCUUUUGUGUUGUAUAAUAUGAACAACAAUUUGUCUG